GUACUGAGACGGCGUACGGGUGCGUUAACGCGUAUACAAUCUGCCUUUCACUGGGGGAUAGCCCGAAGAAAUUUGGAUUAAUACCCCAUAGUAUAGUAGCGUGGCAUCACACAACUAUUAAAGCCUUGGUGGUGAAAGAUGAGUAUGCGUUCUAUUAGCUAGUUGGAGAGGUAACGGCUCCCCAAGGCUACGAUAGAUAGGGGUUCUGAGAGGGAUGUCCCCCACACUGGUACUGAGAUACGGACCAGACUCCUACGGGAGGCAGCAGUGAGGAAUAUUGGACAAUGGUCGGAAGACUGAUCCAGCCAUGCCGCGUGCAGGAUGAAGGUCUUAUGGAUUGUAAACUGCUUUUGUAAGGGAAGAAUAAGGAGUACGUGUACUUUGAUGACGGUACCUUAUGAAUAAGCAUCGGCUAACUCCGUGCCAGCAGCCGCGGUAAUACGGAGGAUGCGAGCGUUAUCCGGAAUCAUUGGGUUUAAAGGGUCUGUAGGCGGGCUGGUAAGUCAGAGGUGAAAGCGCUUAGCUCAACUAAGCAACUGCCUUUGAAACUGUUGGUCUUGAAUGGUUGUGAAGUAGUUGGAAUGUGUAGUGUAGCGGUGAAAUGCUUAGAUAUUACACAGAACACCGAUAGCGAAGGCAUAUUACUAACAAUUAAUUGACGCUGAUGGACGAAAGCGUGGGGGAGCGAACAGGAUUAGAUACCCUGGUAGUCCACGCUGUAANCGAUGGAUACUAGCUGUUUGGAGUAAUCUGAGUGGCUAAGCGAAAGUGAUAAGUAUNCCACCUGGGGAGUACGUUCGCAAGAAUGAAACUCAAAGGAA
rnacentral:rRNA from 1 species